GACGAACGCUGGCGGCGUGCUUAACACACGCAAGUCGAACGAUGAAGCCGGAGCUUGCUCUGGUGAAUUAGUGGCGAACGGGUGAGUAACACGUGAGUAACCUGCCCUUGACUCUGGGAUAACUGCUAGAAAUGGUAGCUAAUACCGGAUACGACCCUCGGAGGCAUCUCCAGGGGGUGGAAAGAAUUUCGGUCAAGGAUGGACUCGCGGCCUAACAGCUAGUUGGUGAGGUAACGGCUCACCAAGGCGACGACGGGCAGCCGGCCUGAGAGGGUGACCGGCUGCACUGGGACUGAGACACUACCCAGACUCCUGCGGGAGGCAGCAGUGGGGAAUAUUGCACAAUGGGCGCAAGCCUGAUGCAGCAACGCCGCGUGAGGGAUGACGGCCUUCGGGUUGUAAACCUCUUUUAGUAGGGAAGAAGCGAAAGUGACGGUACCUGCAGAAAAAGCACCGGCUAACUACGUGCCAGCCGCCGCAGUAA
rnacentral:rRNA from 1 species